AACGAACGCUGGCGGCAUGCCUAACACAUGCAAGUCGAACGAGACCUUCGGGUCUAGUGGCGCACGGGUGCGUAACGCGUGGGAAUCUGCCCCUUGGUUCGGAAUAACUUCGGGAAACUGAAGCUAAUACCGGAUAAUGACGUAAGUCCAAAGAUUUAUCGCCAAGGGAUGAGCCCGCGUAGGAUUAGCUAGUUGGUGGGGUAAAGGCUCACCAAGGCGACGAUCCUUAGCUGGUCUGAGAGGAUGAUCAGCCACACUGGGACUGAGACACAGCCCAGACUCCUACGGGAGGCAGCAGUGGGGAAUAUUGGACAAUGGGCGAAAGCCUGAUCCAGCAAUGCCGCGUGAGUGAUGAAGGCCUUAGGGUUGUAAAGCUCUUUUACCCGGGAAGAUAAUGACUGUACCGGGAGAAUAAGCCCGGCUAACUCCGUGCCAGCAGCCGCGGUAAU
rnacentral:rRNA from 1 species